rnacentral:rRNA from 1 species
UACGAAGGGGGCUAGCGUUGUUCGGAAUUACUGGGCGUAAAGGGCGCGUAGGCGGUGCGGUAAGUCACCUGUGAAACCUCUAGGCUUAACCUAGAGCCUGCAGGCGAAACUGCCGCGCUGGAGUGUGGGAGAGGUGCGUGGAAUUCCCGGUGUAGCGGUGAAAUGCGUAGAUAUCUGCAGGAACACCCGUGGCGAAGGCGGCUGGCUGGACCGCAACUGACGCUGAGGAACGAAAGCUAGGGGAGCAAACAGG